rnacentral:rRNA from 1 species
GACGAACGCUGGCGGCGUGCUUAACACAUGCAAGUCGAACGGAAAGGCCCUGCUUUUGUGGGGUGCUCGAGUGGCGAACGGGUGAGUAACAGGUGAGUAACCUGCCCUUGACUUUGGGAUAACUUCAGGAAACUGGGGCUAAUACCGGAUAGGAGCUCCUGCUGCAUGGUGGGGGUUGGAAAGUUUCGGCGGUUGGGGAUGGACUAGCGGCUUAUCAGCUUGUUGGUGGGGUAGUGGCUUACCAAGGCUUUGACGGGUAGCCGGCCUGAGAGGGUGAACGGCCACAUUAGGACUGAGAUACGGCCCAGCCUCCUACGGGAGGCAGCAGUGGGGAAUAUUGCACAAUGGGCGGAAGCCUGAUGCAGCAACGCCGCGUGCGGGAUGACGGCCUUCGGGUUGUAAACCGCUUUCGCCUGUGACGACGCGUGAGUGACGGUAAUGGGUAAAGAAGCACCGGCUAACUACGUG